CGGGUGAGUAACGCGUGAGGAACCUGCCUCAAAGAGGGGGACAACAGUUGGAAACGACUGCUAAUACCGCAUAAGCCCACGGCUCGGCAUCGAGCAGAGGGAAAAGGAGUGAUCCGCUUUGAGAUGGCCUCGCGUCCGAUUAGCUGGUUGGUGAGGUAACGGCCCACCAAGGCGACGAUCGGUAGCCGGACUGAGAGGUUGAACGGCCACAUUGGGACUGAGAUACGGCCCAG
rnacentral:rRNA from 1 species